AAGCAGGAUUUAACUACACUGUAGCUGUUAAGUGCUAUGUUGUCAUUCCCCUGCUCAAAAAAAUGUUGUUUCUUAACCAUACCUGUCUGCUAGACACCUAGCAGCCAAGGACGCUUGGUCUCAUCCAU
rnacentral:snoRNA from 1 species